AGACCCUGAGGGGGUCGAGUUUUCUUCUCCUUGGAUCUGGGUGGGUGGGCGGCAGAUGAAAAGUGUCCCCAUCUCCAGCCAAUCCCAGGGAAGACCAGAGGGCACUCAUCCAAUGGGAGCCGAGAAGCCGACCGUAGCGGUGGAGGCCCGGGAGCUUACCAGCGCUCCAGCUAGCAGCUAGGGGCAGCGUCCCGAGUGUUCUCGAGAUUCUGCUGCAGACUUUCCGUGUUGUUUCGUGUGCAGGCUCAGCCGAGCUGCGGGAGGCCGGAGAUAUCCCUAUCGAAGCGGUCCGUGGGUGGCGGAGUAUCAUUUGCGUAGCAAAGGGAAGGCGAGCGCUCCGGAAGCCCCCACACGGGCCACCAGAUUAUUCCCUAGAGACUCUGGCAGACCAUACCCGGGUGUUGUCUGCCAUCUUCUCUGUCCACUCUGUGACUAUUGAUUGGCGAUUAAUUCACUGAAAUUCAAGGAACAAACCUGUCAAAUACUGUGAUGACUCUUCAAGUUGGGGACAUGCCUCUGUUAAGAGGCAAGGCUGCUUCCAGGAGUUCAUUCACAUUCUCAGAGACAUCCAAGGAAGGAACUGACCAGCACAAGACUUCUGGUGGAAACUACGAAUGGUUUUGGAAUCCAUCAUCACAGCAAGCAUUUCUUUAUUAAAAUUUAUUUUAAAUUAGCAUA